AACGAACGCUGGCGGCAUGCCUAACACAUGCAAGUCGAACGAGACCUUCGGGUCUAGUGGCGCACGGGUGCGUAAAGCGUGGGAACCUGCCCUUAGGUUCGGAAUAACUCCCCGAAAGGGGUGCUAAUACCGGAUAAUGUCUUCGGACCAAAGAUUUAUCGCCGUUGGAUGGGCCCGCGUUGGAUUAGCUAGUUGGUAGGGUAAAAGCCUACCAAGGCGACGAUCCAUAGCUGGUCUGAGAGGAUGAUCAGCCACACUGGGACUGAGACACGGCCCAGACUCCUACGGGAGGCAGCAGUGGGGAAUAUUGGACAAUGGGCGAAAGCCUGAUCCAGCAAUGCCGCGUGAGUGAUGAAGGCCUUAGGGUUGUAAAGCUCGUUUACCCGGGAUGAUAAUGACAGUACCGGGAGAAUAAGCUCCGGCUAACUCCGUG
rnacentral:rRNA from 1 species